GGUAGCGUGGCCGAGGGGUCUAAGGCGCUGGAUUUAGGCUCCAGUCUCUUCUGGGGCGUGGGUUCGAAUCCCAACGCUGCCA
rfam:Danio rerio chromosome 4, GRCz11 reference primary assembly.